rnacentral:rRNA from 1 species
CGUAGGGUGCAAGCGUUAAUCGGAAUUACUGGGCGUAAAGCGUGCGCAGGCGGUUAUGUAAGACAGAUGUGAAAUCCCCGGGCUCAACCUGGGACCUGCAUUUGUGACUGCAUAGCUAGAGUACGGUAGAGGGGGAUGGAAUUCCGCGUGUAGCAGUGAAAUGCGUAGAUAUGCGGAGGAACACCGAUGGCGAAGGCAAUCCCCUGGACCUGUACUGACGCUCAUGCACGAAAGCGUGGGGAGCAAACAGGAUU